GGUAGAAUGGCUGAUUAUAAGCGGUAGAUUGUAAGUCUAUGUAUGGGUAAAAUACUCUUCUAUCA
rnacentral:tRNA from 1 species